GUCUUUAAAAUUAAAAAUUUUGGCGGUAUUUUAGUCUUUUCAGAGGAACCUGUUUUUUAAUCGAUAGUCCACGAUUAUUUAUACUUUAUUUUUAAAUUUACAUAUCGUCGUAGUUUGAAAAUUUUAUAAUUUAAUUUUUUCAGAUCAAGGUGUAGUUUAUAAUAAAGAUAAAAUGGGUUACAAUAAAAAGGUAAUUUAAAUUGGAUUUGAAAGUAAGCUCUAAAAUAUGCACAUAUUGCCCGUCGCUUUCAUUAUAUGUGAAAUAAGUCGUAACAAAGUAGUCUUAUUGGAAAAUGAGGCUAGAAUUCAAAUUAGAGCUUUAAAAGUUUUUUAUUUACAUUAAAAAGUUAAUUGUGAAAAUCAGUUUAAUUUGAAUUUAAAAUUUUAUUAAUUUUAUUAUUUUUAUUUUUUUAAAAAAAAAAUUUGUAUUUUUAUUAUUAGAUUUAAAAAAUUUAAUUAUAGUUUAAAGUAUUGUGAAAGAAUAAUUUUUAUGUUAAAAAGAAAUUUUUAUUUAGUGUACCUUGUGUCUCAGGGUUUAUUAAUUUAUUUAUCUCGAAUUUAAAAGAGCUAUUUUUAUUGUAGAAUAAAUAUUUAAAAUUUUAAGAUAGUAAUGAAACGUUAUUCGUUUUUAAAUAUAUCUAGUUUUUUAAGAAAUAAAUUUAAUUUAUCUAAUAAAUAUAAUUUUAAUAAGGGAUAAGCUUUAAAAUAAAGCUUUAAAAAUUAAUAAUUUAAAAAAAAUUAUAGGAUUAGAAUUUUUCAUUUUAAUAAUUAUGUUAUAAUAAA
rnacentral:rRNA from 1 species